AAUGAACGCUGGCGGCAUGCCUAACACAUGCAAGUCGAACGAAGGCUUCGGCCUUAGUGGCGCACGGGUGCGUAACGCGUGGGAAUCUGCCCUUGGGUUCGGAAUAACAGCGAGAAAUUGCUGCUAAUACCGGAUGAUGACGUAAGUCCAAAGAUUUAUCGCCCAAGGAUGAGCCCGCGUAGGAUUAGCUAGUUGGUGAGGUAAAGGCUCACCAAGGCGACGANCCUUAGCUGGUCUGAGAGGAUGAUCUGCCACACUGGGACUGAGACACGGCCCAGACUCCUACGGGAGGCAGCAGUGGGGAAUAUUGGACAAUGGGCGAAAGCCUGAUCCAGCAAUGCCGCGUGAGUGAUGAAGGCCUUAGGGUUGUAAAGCUCUUUACCCGGGAUGAUAAUGACAGUACCGGGAGAAUAAGCUCCGGCUAACUACGUGCCAGCAGCCGCAGUAAG
rnacentral:rRNA from 1 species